rnacentral:piRNA from 1 species
UCGAUUCUCAAGCUCUUGUUC